GCCUGGGGGCUCAGUUGGUUAAGCACCUGAUUUUGGCUCAGGUCAUGGUCUCACGGUUCGUGGGUUCGAGCCCCACGUCGGGCU
rnacentral:tRNA from 1 species